UUUAUACUCCCUCCGUUCCAAAUUACUUGUCGUGGUUUUAGUUCAAAUUGAACUAAAACCACGACAAGUAAUUUGGAACGGAGGGAGUACAAG
rfam:Triticum aestivum genome assembly, contig: Triticum_aestivum_CS42_TGACv1_scaffold_211245_3AS